GCUCCUGGUCCUGCUCGGUCCCAUCUCUGCGGGAGAGAUAAAUGUGCUGUGAGCUGACAUGUACGUGUAUAAAACAAACCUGUAGUGAACUCCCCAGCUUUUUGGGGAGCCGCAUAGGUUUAGCAGAUUGGUAAUGGGGAAAAUUUGCCUGAUGCAUACUUAGCGUUUCUCCAACCCCAAUUUGCAAACUCCUUCAAAACAGCAUGCAGCAGUAGCUCUCCUGCCCAGAAACAGCCCAAGCUGUCCUGUCCUUACCAGCGCUCAGCUGUUCUUUGUGGCUGGGCAUGCAGGUACAGCAAGCAACCUGCCAUGGACCCUCUACCUCCAGGUCUGGUUACAGGAGGACGAUCAAAGCAUGGUGAGAGCAUUUGCAGACCAAGUGGAAUGAGAAGGAAGCGUGGCUUUAUGAGUGACUAUAUGGUUGGGGUGACACAGCCUUUAGGACUGCCACUUGGAAUGCAUGUGUGUGCAACGGAAGGAGGGAGAUGAGGGAACAGGAAAUGUAAGCAUGCUUCCUACUGCAUCAGAUACAAGACCCACCACCCUUGCUGCCAUUGAAGCAAGCUGGGUUUGGACAAUCAUGUUUUUCUGUUCGGAAUUGCCUUAUUAUCUUCACUUUUGUUUUUUGCUGCCUUCACUGACAGUUGGUUUGGUAUAAUUAUUCAGUAUUCAGAUUGGAAAGAUCUUGUUCUACUUCUGUUUCUAAAGAUGUGACUAGACUUCAUGACCUUGCAUAUAGCAGGUUUGUUUGUUGCAGAAAUUCAAACAAUAG